rnacentral:miRNA from 1 species
AGUUUGUAUUUUUUUUUUUG